UGGGUGUAGGCUGGAGCUGAGG
rnacentral:miRNA from 1 species